rnacentral:rRNA from 1 species
AGAGCGCACAGGGAAUGCCUAGGCACUAAGAGGCGAAGAAGGACGCAACUAACGGCGAAACUCUACGGGGAGCAGUAAGUACGCAACGAUCCGUAGGAAUCCGAAUGGGGAAACCCGAUAUGUGGAAGACAUAUCAUCUCGAAAGAGAGGCAAUACGCAGAGAACUGAAAUAUCUAAGUACCUGCAGGAAAAGAAAGUAAAAACGAUUCUGCUAGUAGCGACGAGCGAACGCGGAGGAGCCCAUUACCAAAAGAGUUACAAAAUUAUUUAAUAGAAGAACAACCUGGGAAGGUUGACCGAAGAAGGUGAAAGUCCUGUAAUCGAAAUUAAAUAAUCUCGGGUAAUAAAGAGUACGGCGAGACACGAGGAAUCUUGUCGGAACGGAUAAGGAGGCCCAUCUCCUAAGGCUAAAUACUACUUAGUGACCGAUAGUGAACCAGUACCGUGAGGGAAAGGUGAAAAGAACCCCGGGAGGGGAGUGAAAAAGAACCUGAAACUGUGUGCUUACAAUUAGUCAGAGCCCGUUAAUGGGUGAUGGCAUGCCUUUUGCAGAAUGAACCGGCGAGUUAUGAUAUAUAGCAAGGUUAAGGGUGAAGGCCCGGAGCCGCAGGGAAACCAAGUCUUAAAAGGGCGGUUUAGUUAUAUGUUGUAGACCCGAAACCGAGUGAGCUAGCCAUGAGCAGGUUGAAGUCUAGGUAAGACUAGAUGGAGGACCGAACGAGGGAGUGUUACAAAACUCUUCGAUGACUUGUGGUUAGGGGUGAAAAGCCAAACGAACUCGGAGAUAGCUGGUUCUCCCCGAAAUAGCUUUAGGGCUAGCGUUGAUUGAUAUGUUUCAUGAAGGUAGAGCACUGAAUGUGUGAUGGCCUCACCUCGAGGUACUGAUCCCAAUCAAACUCCGAAUGUCAUGAAAGUUAAGAUCAGCAGUCAGACUACGGGUGCUAAGGUCCGUGGUCGAAAGGGAAACAGCCCAGACCGCCAGUUAAGGUCCCAAAAUUGAUGCUAAGUGGAAAAGGAAGUGGAGAUGCCCAAACAACUAGCAGGUUGGCUUAGAAGCAGCCAUCCUUUAAAGAGUGCGUAAAAGCUCACUAGUCGAGUGGCUCUGCGCCGAAAAUGUACCGGGGCUAAGCAUCAUACCGAAGCUGCGGAUUCGUAUAGAAAUAUAUGGGUGGUAGGGGAGCGUUCUAACAGCGAAGAAGCCAUACUGUAAGGAGUGGUGGAGUGGUUAGAAGUGAGAAUGCCGGUGUAAGUAACGAAAAGAGAGGUGAGAAUCCUCUCCGUCGAAAACCCAAGGAUUCCAGGGGAAGGUUCGUCCGCCCUGGGUAAGUCGGGACCUAAGGUGAGGCUGAAAAGCGUAGCCGAUGGAUACGAGGUAGAUAUUCCUCGACUAGUUAUAAGACUGAUGGAGUGACAAAGGAGGCUAACGUUCGCCCGUAAACGGAUUCGGGACAAGGAACUAAGGUGGACCGCGCAGGCAAAUCCGCGCAGUUGUAAACAUUGAGGUUCGGUAGGUAAAGAACGAUGACGUCAAACUUUCGAGAAAAGCUUCUAGGGAUAAUCUUAUAACUACCCGUACCGUAAACCGACACAGGUGGGUGGGUAGAGAAUACUAAGACGCGCGAGAAAACUCUUGUUAAGGAACUCGGCAAAAUGACCCCGUAACUUAGGGAUAAGGGGGACUUUAAAUGAGAAAAAGAAGUCGCAGAGAAUAGGCCCAAGCGACUGUUUAUCAAAAACAUAGGUAUCUGCAAAACCGCAAGGUGAAGUAUAGGUGCUGACGCCUGCCCGGUGCUGGAAGGUUAAGAGGAGAUGUUAGGCAACGAAGCAUUGAAUUGAAGCCCCAGUAAACGGCGGCCGUAACUAUAACGGUCCUAAGGUAGCGAAAUUCCUUGUCGGGUAAGUUCCGACCCGCACGAAAGGCGUAACGAUUUGGGCGCUGUCUCAACAAGAGACUCGGUGAAAUCAAAUUACCGGUGAAAAUGCCGGUUAACCGCGACAGGACGAAAAGACCCCAUGGAGCUUUACUAUAGCCUGAUAUUGGUGUUUGGUAUUUGAUGUAUAGGAUAGGUGGGAGACUGGGAACCCGGGACGCUAGUUUCGGAGGAGUCGACCUUUGAAUACCACCCUUUAAAUACUGAAUAUCUAACCUGCAAGAGUGGAUCUUGAGGGACAGUGUCAGGUAGGUAGUUUGACUGGGGCGGCCGCCUCCUAAAGAGUAACGGAGGCGCUCGAAGGUUCUCUCCGAAUGGUUGGAAAUCAUUCAAAGAGCGUAAAGGUAUAAGAGAGCUUGACUGCGAGACCAACAAGUCGAGCAGGUACGAAAGUAGGACUUAGUGAUCUCUCGGUUCCGCAUGGAAGGGCCGAGACUCAACGGAUAAAAGCUACCCUGGGGAUAACAGGCUAAUCGCAUCCAAGCGUUCACAGCGACGAUGCGGUUUGGCACCUCGAUGUCGGCUUAUCACAUCCUGGAGCUGGAGUAGGUUCCAAGGGUUGGGCUGUUCGCCCAUUAAAGUGGUACGUGAGCUGGGUUCAGAACGUCGUGAGACAGUUCGGUCUCUAUCCGUCGUGGUCGUUGGAAAUUUGAAGGGAGCUGUUCCUAGUAUGAGAAGACCGGAAUGGACAUACCCCUGGUGCACCAGUUGGCUUGCCAAGGCCAUAGCUGGGUAGCUAAGUAUGGAAAGGAUAAACGCUGAAAGCAUCUAAGUGUGAAGCCUCCCCUAAGAUGAGAUUUCCCAAUUUAAGUAAGAUUCCUCAAAGACGAUGAGGUUGAUAGGCCAGGUGUGGAAGUGCGGUGACGCAUGAAGCUAACUGGUACUAAUAAAUCGAGGAUUUAACUUU